CAGUAGCCGCGGUAAUACGUAGGGUGCAAGCGUUAAUCGGAAUUACUGGGCGUAAAGCGUGCGCAGGCGGUACGCUAAGACAGACGUGAAAUCCCCGGGCUUAACCUGGGAACUGCAUUUGUGACUGGCGGGCUAGAGUAUGGCGGAGGGGGGUAGAAUUCCACGUGUAGCAGUGAAAUGCGUAGAGAUGUGGAGGAAUACCGAUGGCGAAGGCAGCCCCCUGGGCCAAACUGACGCUCAUGCACGAAAGCGUGGGGAGCAAACAGGAUUAGAUACCCCAGUAGUCCCUGUCUCUUAUACA
rnacentral:rRNA from 1 species